rnacentral:rRNA from 15 species
GAGUACGAGCAUACAAGCACUAAAGCAUCGGAUCCCAUCAAAACCCCAAUGUUAAGCGUGCUUGGGUGAGAGUCGUACUAGGAUGGGUGACCCCGUGGGAAGACCUCGUGUUGCACUCC